GACGAACGCUGGCGGCGUGCUUAAUACAUGCAAGUCGAGCGAGGUUACUGUUUUGGAUCCCUUCGGGGUGAAGAAGCUUUAACCUAGCGGCGGACGGGUGAGUAACGCGUGGGUAACCUACCCCAAAGUCCGGGAUAACAGCGGGAAACCGCUGCUAAUACCGGAUGUCUUUACCUUGGGGCAUCUUGAGGUAAAGAAAGGUAACGCUUUGGGAUGGGCCCGCGUCCCAUUAGCUAGUUGGUGAGGUAACGGCUCACCAAGGCGACGAUGGGUAGCCGGCCUGAGAGGGUGGACGGCCACACUGGGAUUGAGACACGGCCCAGACUCCUACGGGAGGCAGCAGUAGGGAAUAUUGCGCAAUGGACGGAAGUCUGACGCAGCGACGCCGCGUGAGCGAUGAAGGUCUUCGGAUCGUAAAGCUCUGUCCUUGGGGAAGAAGGUCUUCGGACUUGACGGUACCCAAGAAGAAAGCCCCGGCUAACUACGUGCCAGCAGCCGCGGUAAUACGUAGGGGGCGAGCGUUGUCCGGAAUUACUGGGCGUAAAGGGUGCGUAGGCGGCCCUUUAAGUCGGAUGUGAAAGCCCGCGGCUUAACCGCGGAAUGGCAUUCGAAACUGGAGGGCUUGAGUGUCGGAGAGGGUAGUGGAAUUCCCAGUGUAGCGGUGAAAUGCGUAGAUAUUGGGAGGAACACCAGUGGCGAAGGCGACUACCUGGACGAUAACUGACGCUGAGGCACGAAAGCUAGGGGAGCAACCAGG
rnacentral:rRNA from 1 species